rnacentral:lncRNA from 1 species
GUGGUUGGGAUCGAACAAACAGGGGGAAAGCAAGGUGAAACCCUUGUUUUGCAUAUUCAAUCAAUUGAAGUGAAAAUUCAAGGAUAAUCUAGUGCAUGAACUUCAAUUUACACUCAUCUAAACUCGAAUAUUGAAGUGGCGUGAAAGAAGAAGGUUCAAACACUAGGAAAUCGGAAGGCUCACAAGAUCGAGGUAAAUCCUCAACAUAAGCGAUUGGACGAUUUGGAACGAGCACAUAUGAACUAUGCCCACCUCACGCUUCCGACAAGGCUAACUUAAUGUGGCGUGAAAGAAGAAGGUUCAAACACUAGGAAAUCGGAAGGCUCACAAGAUCGAGGUAAAUCCUAUUGGACGAUUUGGAACGAGCACACAUGAUCUAUGCCCACCUCACGCUUCCGACAAUGCUCACUUAAUGUGGUCUUAAUUUUUGGUUUUAUGUACUUUCAACUUAUGUAGUCUUUUGAUGUCCUUGUAGUAUGUAUGGUCAAUGACUUUGUCGUAGUAGUCUUGUUUUUGAACAAUGUAGAUAAUGUCCGUUUUCGGUUUUGAAAAGAUCUUUUACGUUGUAGU